rnacentral:rRNA from 1 species
GUGCAGUCGAGCGGAUGACGGGAGCUUGCUCCUUGAUUCAAGCGGCGGACGGGNGAGUAAUGCCUAGGAAUCUGCCUGGUAGUGGGGGACAACGUUUCGAAAGGAACGCUAAUACCGCAUACGUCCUACGGGAGAAAGCAGGGGACCUUCGGGCCUUGCGCUAUCAGAUGAGCCUAGGUCGGAUUAGCUAGUUGGUGGGGUAAUGGCUCACCAAGGCGACGAUCCGUAACUGGUCUGAGAGGAUGAUCAGUCACACUGGAACUGAGACACGGUCCAGACUCCUACGGGAGGCAGCAGUGGGGAAUAUUGGACAAUGGGCGAAAGCCUGAUCCAGCCAUGCCGCGUGUGUGAAGAAGGUCUUCGGAUUGUAAAGCACUUUAAGUUGGGAGGAAGGGCAGUAAGCUAAUACCUUGCUGUUUUGACGUUACCGACAGAAUAAGCACCGGCUAACUCUGUGCCAGCAGCCGCGGUAAUACAGAGGGUGCAAGCGUUAAUCGGAAUUACUGGGCGUAAAGCGCGCGUAGGUGGUUUGUUAAGUUGGAUGUGAAAGCCCCGGGCUCAACCUGGGAACUGCAUCCCAAACUGGCAAGCUAGAGUACGGUAGAGGGUGGUGGAAUUUCCUGUGUAGCGGUGAAAUGCGUAGAUAUCGGAAGGAACACCAGUGGCGAAGGCGACCACCUGGACUGAUACUGACACUGAGGUGCGAAAGCGUGGGGAGCAAACCGGAUUAGAUACCCUGGUAGUCCACGCCGUAACGAUGUCAACUAGCCGUUGGAAUCCUUGAGAAUUUAGUGCCGCAGCUAACGCAUUAAGUUGCC